GCGUCGCUCAGUGGAAGAGCAUCUGCUUGGAGAGCAGAAGGUCCCAGGUUCGAUCCCUGGCAUCUCCA